GAUGAACGCUGGCGGCGUGCUUAACACAUGCAAGUCGAACGAAGCAAUUUAGCGGAAGUUUUCGGAUGGAAGCUGGAUUGACUGAGUGGCGGACGGGUGAGUAACGCGUGGGUAACCUGCCUCACACUGGGGGACAACAGUUAGAAAUGACUGCUAAUACCGCAUAAGCGCACAGGACCGCAUGGUCCGGUGUGAAAAACUCCGGUGGUGUGAGAUGGACCCGCGUUUGAUUAGCUAGUUGGUGGGGUAACGGCCUACCAAGGCGACGAUCAAUAGCCGACCUGAGAGGGUGACCGGCCACAUUGGGACUGAGACACGGCCCAAACUCCUACGGGAGGCAGCAGUGGGGAAUAUUGCACAAUGGGGGAAACCCUGAUGCAGCGACGCCGCGUGAGUGAAGAAGUAUUUCGGUAUGUAAAGCUCUAUCAGCAGGGAAGAAAAUGACGGUACCUGACUAAGAAGCCCCGGCUAACUACGUGCCAGCAGCCGCGGUAAUACGUAGGGGGCAAGCGUUAUCCGGAU
rnacentral:rRNA from 1 species